GAUGAACGCUGGCGGCGUGCCUAAUACAUGCAAGUCGAGCGAACGGACGAGAAGCUUGCUUCUCUGAUGUUAGCGGCGGACGGGUGAGUAACACAUGGAUAACCUACCUAUAAGACUGGGAUAACUUCGGGAAACCGGAGCUAAUACCGGAUAAUAUUUUGAACCGCAUGGUUCAAAAGUGAAAGACGGUCUUGCUGUCACUUAUAGAUGGAUCCGCGCUGCAUUAGCUAGUUGGUAAGGUAACGGCUUACCAAGGCAACGAUGCAUAGCCGACCUGAGAGGGUGAUCGGCCACACUGGAACUGAGACACGGUCCAGACUCCUACGGGAGGCAGCAGUAGGGAAUCUUCCGCAAUGGGCGAAAGCCUGACGGAGCAACGCCGCGUGAGUGAUGAAGGUCUUCGGAUCGUAAAACUCUGUUAUUAGGGAAGAACAUAUGUGUAAGUAACUGUGCACAUCUUGACGGUACCUAAUCAGAAAGCCACGGCUAACUACGUG
rnacentral:rRNA from 1 species